AACGAACGCUGGCGGCGUGGAUAAGACAUGCAAGUCGAACGGGACAUUGUGAGUAGCAAUACGAGCAGUGUCUAGUGGCGAACGGGUGCGUAACACGUGGAUACAUUCCGGGAAGCGGGGGAUAGCCCAGGGAAACUUGGAUUAAUACCGCAUGUGGUCGAAAGACUAAAGGCAGGGACCGCAAGGCCUGCCACUUCCCGAUUGGUCCGCGGCCUAUCAGCUAGUUGGCGGGGUAAAAGCCCACCAAGGCUACGACGGGUAGCUGGUCUUAGAGGACGACCAGCCACACUGGAACUGAGACACGGUCCAGACACCUACGGGUGGCAGCAGUCGAGAAUCUUUCACAAUGGGGGCAACCCUGAUGGAGCGACGCCGCGUGGAGGAUAAGGUCUUCGGAUUGUAAACUCCUGUCAUGUGUGAACAAGGUUGUCUUGUUAAUAGCGAGGCAAAUUGAUGGUAACACAAGAGGAAGAGACGGCUAACUCUGUGCCAGCAGCCGCGGUAAU
rnacentral:rRNA from 1 species